GGGUCUCGAUCGCGCGGGCCUCCCUGGAGGGGCGCGGGCUCUGGCGGCGGGGAGGCCCCUGCUCAGCGCAAUGGCGGGCUUGCAUCCUUGGGUGAUUUUUUCGGGCCCCUUGUGGCCUUUGCUCACGCCUAGAGAGCAAACCACCCGCACCACCCAGGAGCAGAUAAAAUCGAGACCACAGCCUCCAAGGGAGCGCGCCUCCAUCCUGUUUGCCCCUCGGGUCGCCGUCUGAGGGCGGGCCCGUGCCCGCUCAGAGCCUACAUCCGAGUCGUAUAAAGCGCUGACAGCAGAGAAAGCUGCGGCUUUGCUCCGUGCAGAUGAGCAGGGGCUGAGGGAGGACGCUGUGCUCUCAGUAGCCGCGCUUGGCCCGGGGACCCUGCAGGCUUAGAAACGUGAGUCACGCCUGCAGCGUGGCGAGGAAACGCCGUUGAUGUGGCAUCCUCAGCCUGGGGUUGUGGCUUUAAGCCAGAAGGUCAAAAAAAGAAGUCUUCCUGAGCUGAGACUGCCCUGAGUCGCUUUAGGGGCGAAAUUCCGAGCAUCCGGUUGCAUUUCCUGAGGAUGACACGCGUGGUGGGUGUGGACGGCCUACAGGGGUCCAUCCUCAGCGGCCCCUCUGCAGGGCAGUCUCGCUCUCACUCUCCCAGCUGACUCCUCUCAAGCCUGUUAACCAUUGUACACGUUCCCAAGGACUCCAAGCAGGUUGGACUUCAGGGAACAUUGCAGUUUGGGUCUUGGCCAUUGUUUACACUCCACCUUGCAUAAGUGCUUGAGGAUCACACAACCAGAUACGUAGAUCAUCCGUAGAUCAUCGCAGUCACAUCGAAGAUUUGUUUAUAAUAGGAAAAAAAAAAGCUACCCACUGUCAUGCGCUGGGAAACUAGUGAGCUGAAGGAUGACCCAUCUGUAAAUGGGGUGCUCCCUAAUGGACAGGGCACCUUUCAGAAGCCUGUGCUGUGUCUCCUCGACCCCACUGUGAGCUCCCCGUCCCGCACGCUGAUCUAAAUCAAGCUGCUAACCUCAUGGAGAGGCGUCCGCACGGGAGCCCCGGCCCUGAGAUGCGGGGCAGUCACCCAUUCAAUUAGGAAACACCAGCAAGUGCCAGAAGCUUCUCAUUAGCAGGUCAGCUUUCAAUAACUGGUUUAUCCAGGUGUGUGAGACCCGAUAAGCAGAAGGGAAAGCUCUUAGCGACCUAUCCAGCUGCUCUGCACUGGGCUCCUGACAUCCCAGAAAUCAGUACAUCUGUCUUCUGGGGUCCAAGAGGUAUUUCAGUUUCUCUGGCUUUGUUUCCCGUCAUUUGUACCUGGCCCUGCAGACUACCCCAGUAUUUCCAUCAUAAUACCCCUGUGGGCAGGUGCAUACCUCAUGACAAUAUUUAAUAUUAAUAGAUUUAUGUGUUGUCUCCAGAAUGGAAAGGGGCUGUCUAUUCCUUGAGCUAGUUGGCUUGCUAAAGACUAUUGACUUCAUUCUUCUUUUCCUAUCUACCUAAUAAACCAGUGUUCAUACAACCCAGCCUCUCUGACUCUGUCCCUCCUCUCAUCUGUACUGGGACAUUAUGAACCAUGGAAGAUCCUGGAGUCAUAGAGGCACCCUGUGGCUCUGUGGCUGUUGCACUUACACCGACCAAGAUGUCCCGUGGGAAUGUGGGAAGGUUGCCCGUGGGGUUCCUGCUGAGGGCCUCCAGCGUGGCCUCUGAGUCGUAGGUAGAGAUUGUCACUGCGUUCCCAAUGUGUGUUUGCCCAGGUGCCUGUGGAGUCUGGCCCCAUGAAGAAAUGCAGCCUGGGGUAAAGACAGUGGGAGAGUUUGAGUUUACCCCCUUGAAUACCCCCUUUGAAGACCGAGCCUCCAUAUCAGUAACCACAUUCCAAGAUUUUCAGGGGUUGAAAUUUGCUUAUCCUCAAGCAAAGCUGUUGUUGAUUUUGUUUCCCUGCUAAUCGUGGGCCGUGUGUUGAAGAUAAUGGGGUUCAUUCUCUUCAGCCCCUGUCAGCCACUCUGAGUUCAGCAUUUAGGGAAAUCUGCUCAUGAUGGCACCGUUUAGUUCUUAAUUGCCCCACAAUACAGAAAUCAUCACAGAUGUGGCCUUACUCUAGGGGAGUUGACUAUUGUUGAGUUAAACACCUCGCCGUGCCUUCCCAGAUCACUAAGUAACCCUCAGACUGGUGGCCUCUGUACUGAACAGGCUGGCGGAAGGGAGCACAGGACGGCUGUAGCUCUUUCGGAUACGGAAGAAUCAUGCACUCAUAAAGGCCUAAAGACUGGGAGGUGUCACGUAGUGAGCAAUCUUGCCUUUAGUCUGUUCUUACUGUUCUUUUUAUUAUAACAUUAAUAACCAUUUGUAAGAAAUAUUCUUAAGAUAAAGUAGAUUACCAAAUAUAUAUUUUUUCAUAUAAAAGCAUCACAUGCUCAUUGUAAAACAUCGUGGAAAAAUAUAUUUUAAAGAAAUAGUCUAUAAUCCUACCAACUAGAGAUGACCAUUGUUAACAUUUUGAGGUAUGUAUUUCCAAAUAUUUUUUCUAUCCAUAAAUGUGUUUAAAAAAACACAAAUAGGAUCAACUUCACAUUAGUGGAACCAGUUAUUAAGUGAUCAUGAACGUCUUUUAAAGGCAAUCAAUACAGACUACGCCAUUUUUUAAUAGCUUUAGUGAGGGCGAAUUCAUGCAUUGUGCAAUUCACCCAUUUAAACGGUGAAUUCAGUGUUUUUUUGUGUAUUCACAGAGUUGUACAACUAUCAUCACAGUCCAUUUUAGAACAUUUUCAUCACCCCAGAAAAGACCUUCAUAUGCUUUAGUUAUUGCCUCCUUAUCCCGACUUCCACCCCCAGCCCACGGCAACCACUGAUCUACUUCCUGUCUCUAUGGAUUUCCUGUUCUGGACAUUCGUAUGAAUGGAAUCGUAUAAUAUGUGAUGUUUUGUGACUGGCUUUGUUGACAUAAUGUUUUCAAGGUUCAUCCAUGUCAUAGCAUAUGUCAGCACUUCAUCCCUUUUUAUGGCUGAAUAAUGUUCCAUUGUAUGGAGAGGCCACAUUUUGAUUAUCCGUUCACCAGCUAGUGGACGUUUGGGUUGUUCUCACUUUUCGGCUAUUACGAAUGAUGUUGCUAUAAAUGUGCACAAGCUCAUCCAUGUGGGUGUAGCUCUUCAUUUCUCUUGGGUGGAGUUACUAGGAGUGCACUUGCUGGGUCACAUGGUAACUCUAUGUUUAAUCAUUUGAGGAACUGCUGGACUUUUUCCAAAGCAGCUGCAUGAUUUUAAACCUCCAUCAGCAGGGUAUGAGGGUUCUGAUUUCUCCACAUCUUUGCCAACACUUGUUAUUCCUUGAGUUUUUGAUUCUAGCCAUCUCAGUGGAUGUGAAGUGGUAUGUCAUCGUUUUCAAAAGCAGAAUAGUGUUUGUCUAUGAAGGGAAGUGCCUUAGCUUACUUGCCAUGAAAGCACAAUCCCCCAAGAGUGAGGGAAAGAGGUGAGUGAAGCAGUGAAGGAGAAGCUAUGGUGAGGG
rnacentral:lncRNA from 1 species